CCUGCUAGCCUUGGUGGGUCCACAUACAGGGUGGCAUUUGGGCUGCCACAGUUUUCCACAGUAACAUUUCAGAAUAGCUCCAUAAUAUCAACCAGAAUUCAUAAGUUGUGUAGAUAGAGUCCCCAGUUUAUCACAACUCUCAGGGGGUGAGCUGGCCAUUAACCAGGGCUGGGGCCCACCUCCCCAGGUGAAUGGAAUUAAGGGUAGAGUCACUAGACAGAGUCAUGUGAUACAAUCAGGUCUGUUAAGGGGGAUAAUGCAGUUUUUGGGCAAAGGGGAAGCAGAUCAUGGAGACUCUAGGGAGAAUAGAGCUGGGACUUAUUGUUCCAUCCAGAGCUUGGGGGCUGGCAGUGUGUAGGAAGAGGCACUAGGAAGGAGCCAAGCAGUCUAGAUUAUGGGGCAGACACCUGGUUAUGUAAGGUUCUGACAGCUGGGAAGUCACAGGGGAGGGAGGGUUUGGGUUCCCCCUGUGUUGACACCCUGUGCAGGGGACUAGCUACCUGUAUGAACAAGAGGAAGAUAAAGGGACUGAGGAGAACCCAGGUGGGCUAGAAGCUGAGCCCAGACGGGCUGUAUGAAUAUUGGGAGAUGACAAACCCUCGGAGGAAGGGCUGUUCCUAGGGUGAGACUGGGGUGGAAGACUUGUGUGUUGUUUCAAUACUUUGGUUUAUACCCUGGGACCAUUUGGAGGGUUAAGUCAUCUCAAUGACAUAAAACAUUGGAUGCCAAUUGUCAACUGUUGGAAAGAGGGAAACUGGGGGCACACCUGGGGAAACUGAGGCAGAGUCAGGUUUCAAUGCUGGGUUCAGAGGGACCUUUCUACAGUAACUGAGAACCAACCACAGUGUACAGUUGGUGUGAUCCACGUUCAGUUGCCAUCAUAUAAUAAAGAACAUCUCGCAACGGAGCAAUCAGUCAUUGAAAGAUAACUGGCCAAGGAGAGCAUAGUGAAACGUUACUGGAGACUGGUUGUCUCCAUGUUCUUCAUGCAAGUAAUUUUACUUUCAGGAGGUUGAUAUUCCACUGGGGAAAUGAUCUGCUUUUCACACGAAGUAUCAGAGAGUGAGUUAUGCUCUGUCCUCCUCUGUUCUGAUCACAAGUUCUGUGCUCUGGUAAUUCUCAGAUAACUAAAAUAAAAAACUACAGCCACCAUGGCUUGUUCUCUGUGACAUCUACAGACUUAAGCAUCAAGACAAGCUAGAAAUAAACAGGUUUAGUAACUUAGAUGAGUAAUAGGAAAUAAUUUCAAACAACAAAUCGGAGUAAAUCUGUCUGUUUGCAGUCAAUUUAUAAAAGGGGGCAAAUCUGUCAUAUUAAACCGAUUGCUACAAAUUACAGUACCUUAUUGUCGACAUGACAAUAAUGAACCUUCUCCCCAGAUCACAGUCCUGGUCUUAAACCCAGACAGAUUUUCUCCUUUCAUUUUUAACAAAGACUCUUCUCUGCAAGGCUGCUUUGUAGGAGGAGAUUGGGAAUUGAGACCCUAACAGAUCUGGCUGAGGGACUGCUGUAGUAUUUUCUUUUUGUGUCUCCCAGACACGACUGUCCUUAUGAUUCACAGGCAAUUGAGGUCUAUGAAGAGAAGAACCGGUCAUGGUUUGUGUCUAAGUCUCAUUUCACCUCAAAACCCUUGUGCUUUGGCUCUUACUGCAUUGUGUCCAGUCUAUCAGCGAUAACAGUAACACCCAAAAGAUCCACACCACGGAUUUGAAGAAAGAGCUGGGGCUCACCCUGGCAGAGAAAAGUGAUGGGAGGCCGAUCUGGGAGGCUGUUAUCAGACCAGAGGACUUGAUGCCUUCUGUUUCAUCCACUGAGAUGCGAACAGACAAACACUUUGUCGACCAGCACCGAGAACAGCUGAUCCAGCGAGUGAUAGCGGUGCAUGGCAUCCUGGAUAAAUUGCAUGGCUCUGUUCUAGACAAUGAGCAAUAUCAGAUGGUGAAAUCUGGGAGCACCAACCCGGAGAAGAUGCGGAAGUUGUACGAACUAGUGCCGAGCUGGGACACGUCCUGCAAAGAAAAGUUCUACCAGGCACUGAAGGACAAACACAGACACCUAGUUGAAUACCUUGAGGGGAAAUAGCUGCUCUUUCCUCUCAGCUUGUCUGCAUUGGGAAGUGGGGUGUGUGUGUUAAUCUGCAGCUUUUUGUUGCACAUCAGAUAACUCGCAAUAUGCACACUGGUCUAAUAGUGUGUGCAUGGUACACUUGUGCCGCCUUUCAAUUUGCAUUGUGUGUACACGGCAGAGGCUUGCUGUGUACUAAGCAUGCAGCAUUCUCAGAGCAUAUCCCAUGUGCCUUUGCCUUGGUGCUGAGCACUGUGCAUUCUGCAAUUGUCUCACUGUGAAUUAUGGGAUACGUAGCACAAGCCAGCUGGGUUCAAUUUAAAAAGAAAAAAAAUCCCAUGUUUCCACUGUCUCUG